GGUCCGUUGGCAGAAUUGGCAUUGCGUCUGACUACGACAGCUCCUGUUCAUUCAGGGUGUAAUCAGUUGACAUCAGGAGAUUCUGGGUUCGAUCCCCAGGCGGACCU